AUCCAGGCUGGAAAGACUCUUCAGGAUACUAUCCAGGAGAAGUCUCCCAACCUAGCAAGGCAGGCCAACAUUCUAAUUCAGGAAAUCAGAGAAUACCACAAAGAUACUCUUCGAGAAGA